rnacentral:rRNA from 1 species
AUGUCGACCUCCGCCUCCACUUCCUCUACACUCGGGGCCUCCACCUCAUCGACGCUCGCGACGCAGACCGCCGGGGCCAUGAUCCCGUCCAUCGCGUCGCCGGCGUCCCAGGCCGUCCAUGUCGCCAGCGUCAAGACGCAUGUCCCCGUCAUCCUCGACCUCCAGAAGUCCAACUACGCCAAGUGGCGUAUGCUCAUCACCGUCCUCGUCGGUAAGUACGACCUCACCGGCCACAUCUCCGACCUCACGCCGCCGGAUGCCCGCUCGGCGGACUGGCAGCGUCAGGACUUCGUCGUGCGCUCGUGGAUCUACGGCUCCAUCAGCGAGGACAUCCUCGACACAAUCAUGGCCCAAGAUCAGACCGCGUACGAGGCCUACGCGCUGAUUCGGAACCUCUUCCUCGACAAUCAGCUCACCCGGGCCGUCUACCUCGAGGCGGAGUUCCGGGCCCUCGUCCAAGGCGACCUCACCAUCACCGCCUACUGCCAUCGUCUGAAGGCCCUCUCCGACGCGCUCGCGGACGUAGGGUAG